rnacentral:rRNA from 1 species
GAUGAACGCUGGCGGCGUGCCUAAUACAUGCAAGUCGAGCGAACAGACGAGGAGCUUGCUCCUCUGACGUUAGCGGCGGACGGGUGAGUAACACGUGGAUAACCUACCUAUAAGACUGGGAUAACUUCGGGAAACCGGAGCUAAUACCGGAUAAUAUAUUGAACCGCAAGGUUCAAUAGUGAAAGACGGUUUUGCUGUCACUUAUAGAUGGAUCCGCGCCGCAUUAGCUAGUUGGUAAGGUAACGGCUUACCAAGGCAACGAUGCGUAGCCGACCUGAGAGGGUGAUCGGCCACACUGGAACUGAGACACGGUCCAGACUCCUACGGGAGGCAGCAGUAGGGAAUCUUCCGCAAUGGGCGAAAGCCUGACGGAGCAACGCCGCGUGAGUGAUGAAGGUCUUCGGAUCGUAAAACUCUGUCAUUAGGGAAGAACAAAUGUGUAAGUAACUAUGCACGUCUUGACGGUACCUAAUCAGAAAGCCACGGCUAACUACGUG